rnacentral:rRNA from 1 species
GUGAGGAAUAUUGGUCAAUGGGCGAGAGCCUGAACCAGCCAAGUCGCGUGAAGGAAGAAGGAUCUAUGGUUCGUAAACUUCUUUUGCAGGGGAAUAAAGUGCAGGACGUGUCCUGUUUUGUAUGUACCCUGAGAAUAAGGAUCGGCUAACUCCGUGCCAGCAGCCGCGGUAAUACGGAGGAUCCGAGCGUUAUCCGGAUUUAUUGGGUUUAAAGGGUGCGUAGGUGGUUUGAUAAGUCAGCGGUGAAAGUUUGCAGCUUAACUGUAAAAAUGCCGUUGAAACUGUCGGACUUGAGUGUAAAUGAGGUAGGCGGAAUGCGUGGUGUAGCGGUGAAAUGCAUAGAUAUCACGCAGAACUCCGAUUGCGAAGGCAGCUUACUAAGCUACAACUGACACUGAAGCACGAAAGCGUGGGGAUCAAACAGGAUUAGAAACCCCGGUAGUC